AUUGAACGCUGGCGGAAUGCUUUACACAUGCAAGUCGAACGGCAGCACGGGUGCUUGCACCUGGUGGCGAGUGGCGAACGGGUGAGUAAUGCACCGGAACGUAUCCAAUAAUGGGGGAUAACGCACCGAAAGGUGUGCUAAUACCGCAUACGCCCUGAGGGGGAAAGCGGGGGAUCGUAAGACCUCGCGUUAAUGGAGCGGCCGAUGCCGGAUUAGCUAGUUGGUGAGGUAAAAGGCUCACCAAGGCGACGAUCCGUAGCUGGUCUGAGAGGACGACCAGCCACACUGGAACUGAGACACGGUCCAGACUCCUACGGGAGGCAGCAGUGGGGAAUUUUGGACGAAUGGGCGCAAGCCUGAUCCAG
rnacentral:rRNA from 1 species